AUUGAACGCUGGCGGCAGGCCUAACACAUGCAAGUCGAGCGAGCGGCGGACGGGUGAGUAAUGUAUGGGGACUGCCCGAUAGAGGGGGAUAACUCCUGGAAACGGUAGCCAAUACCGCAUACUAUCGGAUAACCCAUAUGGGAUUAGCUAGUAGGUGGGGUAAUGGCUCACCUAGGCGACGAUCCCUAGCUGGUCUGAGAGGAUGAUCAGCCGCACUGGGGCGGGGACACGGCCCAGGCUCCUACGGAGGCAGCAGUGGGGAAUAUUGCACAAUGGGCGGAAGCCUGAUACAGCCAUGCGGCGUGUAUGAAGAAGGCCCUAGGGGUGUAAAGUACUUUCAGGCGGGAGGCGUUACCUACAGAAGAAGCACCGGCUAACUACGUGCCAGCAGCCGCGGUAAUAC
rnacentral:rRNA from 1 species